GCACUAGGGGACUGAAGAAGACCUGCCCUGGGAGUGAAUAUCUGAGCAUCUGGGUGCUUGCUGCUCGCUCCUUUGGGGUGCUGUCUCUCAAGCCAGCUGAAGACCCUGGCUGUUCUGGUGUUUGGCACAACAACCUUAUCAAUGGUUUGCAACCGUGAGCAAAGACUCCUGAGAAAGCUGAAUGGUUGAAAUAUGAAGUGCUAUUUAUAACAAGCACAAAAGAGCACUCGGGGACACUGGGCUUGGUACACACACAGAGCAAACUAGACUCCAAAAAAGAAUGAGAUGCAGACACAGAAGAGCAUCAAGAGGCUGAAAAUUACUGAGCCAGAGGAAGACAACAUUUGAGCAAAAGAAGUUCAGGUGUGGGAGGAGAACAAAAUGAAAUAAAGGAUCCACAUAUCUUGUUAAUAGAAGCCCUUCUAUUCUGGGGAUGACACAUUUCUUGCAGCAUUCAGACUGUCAUAUAUUGGUUCUGGGAUGCUGUUCAUCUCCUCCCAGCAAGCAGGGCUAAUGUGACUUGGAGUCCUGCCUGGAAUAUGGGGGAUCUGAGAUGGUAAGGCAUACUUCCAGUUCAAGAACUAUGGAGACACUAUGGCAGACAACAACAUGCAACCUGAGCCUAUGCAUAUUUACACAAUAAUAAAACCCAUAGCUUUCAGUGAGACUUCUUCCCAAGGACUCACAGGCUACACUGGAGACAAUGGACAUUUGGAUUACUCUGGGAGACAACUUUGAGGAACGGCAAAAUCUACCACCACUGACAUGGAGUCUCCUGCACCACUGUGCAUGUGUAUGGGAUAAUAUAUUGCUGAUGUUUCUCCUCCCCCCCCAAAAAAAAUUAUCCGGAGCCAGGUUUGGGAGGGAGCUCCUGGAAGAGAACGUUUCUGGAGGAGAACAGAAGGGAAUGCCAAAGAGCAAGAGUGAAGGGAAUGUGAAGGGCAAGAUGGAGAGGAGAAAGCUCUUCUGCUAAUGCAUCCCUUUCAACCUGACCCUGAAAUUUCACAGCCCUUCAGCUAAUUAGUGAUAAAGACAGACUCCCUUGCCAUCAUACAAAUUGCCUUUGAAACUCCCUUCAGUUUCAAAAGCAGUUUGCCAUAUGGCAUUUUGUGGGUGAAGAGGAAGAGGCUUAUACCCCUGGGAUCCUGAAACUUGUUUUACAUAGCAACUAUUUUGUGGUUCUCCUGUAAUUUGAAAACUAAACCACUGAUUGGUUCUUCCCAAAGAAUAAAUCAGACUUCUUCCUCAGAUGCAACUGCUACAACAGUUCCAGCAGGGUCUCCUUAAAUCAGCUCAAAAACUGAAAAGCAAAUAAAGAACGAGCACAGAAAAUGAAGUUGGCAGGGCUCCACUGAUAUGAUUUGUUAUAGAAAUUGCAGCUGAUUUACGGGUCGGGGCCUCUGUCAGUGCUCUGUAAGUUGAAGGCAAAAUAUUUCAACAGUUACUUAUGGGGGGUGGGAAAUGUUUCUGCUGAUCCAGGAAAUGUUCUGAGGGCAAUGAUACAUGCUUACAGCAAGUAAAAUAAUGUUUUCUUCUAAUUUGGGCAGAAGUACCUUUUGAAGGAUACCAGCAACAAUUUACUGUGAUUCAUUCCUCAGCUUAGAAAGUUAGAUCUUCUGAGUUGGGGGGGUGCAGAGUCCAAACAGGCAAAACAUGAAAGAGGAAUGUUUUGUUAAGGGGUGUUGUAUAGAUGCUGUGUUUAAAAAAAAGUAAAUGACGUGUGCCUAUUGCACAGUAAGUGCCAAGUGUGGAAUCAGCCUAAGA